AAUAAUCUUCCGCCGGGAAGUUAAAAUUCAGGAGAGCCGGACGUCUCAUUAGGCCUUUGAAGAGAUGUCUGACUCUCCUUUUGUUUU
rnacentral:ncRNA from 1 species